rnacentral:rRNA from 1 species
GACGAACGCUGGCGGCGUGCUUAACACAUGCAAGUCGAACGGAAAGGCCCUGCUUGCAGGGUACUCGAGUGGCGAACGGGUGAGUAACACGUGGGUGAUCUGCCCUGCACUUCGGGAUAAGCCUGGGAAACUGGGUCUAAUACCGGAUAGGAGCCAUUUUUAGUGUGAUGGUUGGAAAGUUUUUUCGGUGUAGGAUGAGCUCGCGGCCUAUCAGCUUGUUGGUGGGGUAAUGGCCUACCAAGGCGGCGACGGGUAGCCGGCCUGAGAGGGGGGACGGCCACAUUGGGACUGAGAGACGGCACAGGCGCCUACGGGAGGCAGCAGGGGGGAAGAUUGCACAAGGGGCGCAGGGCGGAUGAAGAGAGGCCGCGUGGGGGAUGACGGUCUUCGGGUUGAAGAAACCGUUCGCUAGGGACGAAGCUUUGUGUGACGGUACCUAGAGAAGAAGCACCGGCUAACUACGUG